rnacentral:rRNA from 1 species
GUAGGUGGCAAGCGUUGUCCGGAAUUAUUGGGCGUAAAGCGCGCGCAGGCGGUUCUUUAAGUCUGAUGUGAAAGCCCACGGGCUCGACCGUGGAGGGUCAUUGGAAACUGGAGAACUUGAGUACAGAAGAGGAAAGCGGAAUUCCACGUGUAGCGGUGAAAUGCGUAGAGAUGUGGAGGAACACCAGUGGCGAAGGCGGCUUUCUGGUCUGUAACUGGCGCUGAGGCGCGAAAGCGUGGGGAGCAAACAGGAUUAGAUACCCUGGUAGUCCACGCCGUAAACGAUGAGUGCUAAGUGUUAGGGGGUUUCCGCCCCUUAGUGCUGCAGCUAACGCAUUAAGCACUCCGCCUGGGGAGUACGGCCGCAAGGCUG